AUUAUUCUUAUAAAUAUUUGAUUGAACUUCAUCCUUCCUCCCAACACACAGUCACUUGAAUGUAUUGCUGUUUUGUGUUCAUGGAAGUGAAUUGAUCUCUCUUAUAAUUAGAUAGGUGAUGUUGUUACUUAAUCUUUAGUAUAUAAGACAACCCGAUACAGAACAAGGGUGGGCAGCUUUGACAGACCCAGGGACCCUUUCCUGCAGGAUCCUCUGAUGGUUACUCAGAGGGCCAGGAAUGGAAAACUAAACAAAGAAACAAAAUUGGAUCUGACUGGUAAAGCAUUUCUGGACUUGAAAGAACAAGCUCUGUGUGUGACUGUAUUCAGCUCCAGUUUCCUACUUUGCCUACAUCUACAGAAUAUACUUAAAUUCUUUCUUGCUCCAAACUCAAAGACUAUAGUUGUACAGAAAGGUCCACUAAUGUUACUUUAGUUCAAAAAUACUAUAACAGGGCUAAAUGUAUGAGCUUCAAGCUUCUUUUUAUGCCUAUCUAUUUUUUAUUUUUUUAUUUACGAUACUUUUACCCUGCCUUUCUCACCCCGGAGGGGACUCUAUUCCUCCUGCAUGAUCACAGAUGGCCCAUGUUAUCUGCUGCGGUUUGGUUCCAGGACACACACACACUGUGAAUGUCAAAAUCUGUGGAUGCUUAUUAGAUACAUUGGUGAAGUAAAGUGAUGUUUCUUAUAUAAAAUGGCAAAAUCAAGGUUUGCUUAUUGAAUUUUUUAAAGGGAGGGGUUAGUUUCAAACCAUGAAUGGGUGAAUCCGCAUAUUCAGAGUCCAUUGGUAAAGAGGGCCAACUGUAGUAGGAAAUUGAAAGCUUUUCCCCAUUACCAGUUAACAAUUCUUUAUUAUUUAUAUGUAAAUCCAAAACUAUGGUUUUUCCUGAUUCAGACUUGUAGAAGCUAACAGGGGCUUUAACUGAAGUUUCAGAUUGGCUUGUUUCUGUAAACCAUGGUUAAAACUAGCCAUAGUUUGUUCACUCUGGGAUAUAAUGAAUAACCAUGUUUAAUUUCAAUCACGGUUCAGCUCCCCAGAUGUUUUCCACUACAGAUCUCAAUAUUGUGUACCUUAACUGUCCUGACUAGGGCUCAUGGGAGAAAUGAACUGAAUUGGAGGUCUGCAAUUGCAUACCACUACUUAAAAUAAAAUCAGAACUUCAUCUCUACUCUUUGCAGCCAUAGUUAAGGAGAUAAGGGAUCACACAUAAGCCAUUAUUCAUUCUAUUCAUCUAAAAGUUGGUGAAUUUUGUUAGUGACAUAGCUGUAAUUAAUGAGAGGUUUAGCAUUGUGUCAAAACAAAAACCAUUACCUCUAUAUUUAUUUCGUAUCAAAAGCAUUGCAUAAUAAAUAAAUAAAUUUAAAAGUGAUGAAAUAAAGGAAAUCGCAAGCUUGUGAUUACCUCUAUAUGGAUGUAACACUUAACUGUGCCUUGUUUUAUAGAGAAGCUUCUUUAUGAAUGUUUUAGUUCUGUUUAAGUGUUAGGCAUAAAAUGGCAUGAAAGGGCUCUCUUGUUUCUGGGUAGAUGUUAGAAAACAAUGGUAAAGUCAGUUACCUCACUUCCUACCUUUUGUACUCGCAAUUCAGUCUCACAGAUAACUUACGUGUACUCUUUGACAGCUGGUUUAUGUGAGGUAAGCCAAACCAUGGUUUUUUGGUUAUGCUUGGAUGCUCCUCUGUGGUUAUGAAACCAUGGAUGAGCACCAUGACCACCUGUGCCUCAUAUGUCCUUUUCCUCCUCCAUUGUGAGCUUUAAGUUGAAACUCUCUUUUACAUCUGGAUCUUGGAGGAGGCUAUGCUAGUUGUGCUGGUACCUGGGCAUUGUCAUCAGAUAAGUUUUCUGUAGUGGUGCCCAGGGCCUUCAUAUAUGGAACUUACAGAUGCUACCCUGCAUAGUAAGGACUAAUGGGGCCUGAUGUAAUGACUGCAAGUAGAGUACUAGAGAAAAGUUGAAGUGGGGCGCAAUCAAAGGCACAGAGAGGGAAGAAGAAAAAAACAAGCUGAAUUCCUGUCAUUCAACUUAGUGUGACAGUUCUUGAGGAAAAGUUAUAAUAAAUGUAAAAUGUACAGUAGAGUCUCACUUAUGCAAGCUAAAUGGGCUGGCAGAAGCUUGGAUAAGCGAAUAUCUUGGAUAAUAAGGAGGGAUUAAGGAAAAGCCUAUUAAACAUCAAAUUAGGUUAUGAUUUUAUAAAUUAAGCACCAAAACAUCAUGUUAUACAACAAAUUUGACAGAAAAAGUAGUUCAAUGUGCAGAAAUGUUAUGUUGUAAUUACUGUAUUUAGGACUUUAGCACCAAAAUAUCAUGAUAUAUUGAAAACAUUGACUACAAAAAUGGCUUGGAUAAGCGAGGCUUGGAUAAGUGAGACUCUACUGUAUUUGCAAAUAUUUUCAUUUAAAAGAAGGUGACUUUUAACAUUAAAUUUGUUUAUGAAGAUUUUCCUCUCUAUACAAACAUUAAUAUUCCUAUGAAGAUAGAAAGAGCAUUGUAAUUUGCACAUAGAAAUGCAUGAGGAAGGAACUGGCAAAAGCAACUCUUGAGUAUUCCUUUUCUCAGAAAAUCCUAUAAAAUUAAUGGGGUCAACAGACAACUUGAAGACACACACAGAGACAUUUUUGUGGUUCAAAUACACAUUCACUUUCAUUCUCUUAAUAUGUAGUAGAUGAGAUUAAGGGUGUAGUUAACUCAGAAUGAAACAAAACAAAAGUCAGCCCUAGAAGAAAAUCCAUAUUUGCUGUUUUAGAGUUCAAAAGGUUGUACGUUUAUCUGGGCACCACCUUGCUAGAGCCUCGGAACAGUGAUUCUCAUGAUCUGAUCCUUUUCCCAUUUACGUCUGAAGUAAUUCUGCCUUUAGGCAUUUUGGCCUUCCCUUUUUCUGGAGAGGGAAUUGGUGGGAGGUAAUGUAAAUGGACCACAAAGUGAUAUCCAACUAUUCAACAGAAGGAAAAGUACAUUGAAGUCCCAAAUGCUGUGGUUGAAAUCAGAGUAGAAGAAAAUGUUGGUUUAUUCCUCCAAGAAUUCGUGUUUCAUUUAUGAAUUAAAAAAAUCCAUCUUCUUUUUUGAUGGUUCAGAAUAUAUUGCUCUACUGCCUCUGUUUUUAAGUUCUGAUUUCUUGAUGCAAGGAAGCUUGCAGUGAACUAAACUAUUGUUUUUACUGUCUGUUUAAAGCCUGUGAUGAAUGGUUGUGGGAAGCAGUAUGCAAGAUAAGAUAGGCCUUUGGCCAGAUCUUAAUACAGUAGAGUCUCACUUAUCCAACAUAAACGGGCCGGCAGAAUGUUGGAUAAGCGAAUAUGUUAGAUAAUGAGGGAUUAAGGAAAAGCCUAUUAAACAUCAAAUUAGGUUAAGAUUUUACAAAUUAAGCACCAAAACAUCAUGUUAUACAACAAAUUUGACAGAAAAAGUAGUUCAAUAUGCAUUAAUGCUCUGUAGUAAUUAUUGUAUUUACGAAUUUAGCACCAAAAUAUCAUGAUGUAUUGAAAACAUUGACUACAAAAAUGUGUUGGAUAAUCCAGAAUGUUGGAGAAGUGAGACUCUACUGUAUGUGUUUACUAGUGUGAGACCCUGGACUUCUUUGUAUGGCUACUAAAAUCCUGAUUUUGUAUUUUAUUUUACUAUCUAGAAAUGUUGAUCUACUUGUAUCCUUUUCUCUCUAAUAUUGCUGUAAAUUUCUUUGAGCAUUAUCUUUCUGUGGAAAAUGAGCAGAAAAACUAAUAAUUAUCAUCUGGCAUGACUGUUUUUAUGUUCAGAUAAUUGUAGUUGGUUUUGCCCUUCACUUUGUAAACCAGCACAACCAGCAAGGUUAGGUGAGUAGAGGUCCUUGAAUAUAUAUAGUGAUUGUACCAAUCAUGUCAGUACAUAAGGGGAAAAAUACUCAGAUAUUAUGCCAAGAGACAGCAUAGUAUUUGUGUAUUCUUCCCCUUCUGUAUUGAUGUUGCAAGAUAGAAGUCAAGUCAUACUCAAGAGAUCAUCAUCUCAAUUUUUGGGGGCAGUAGGCUUGACAUUUAGCAGCUUUUUCACCUGUAUACUUAUAAGGUGUAACACUUUGUGAUGCAGGUGGAAAACAUCCUGUCUUUUACAUUUGUUGUACCUGAAUGGCAGUAUUAACAAAAGAUUUCUAUUUUCACACAUUUCUAUCCUCCCAAGGGUGAUUCAUCUCCCUUUUUGCAAAGUGACACUACAAGAAGUACGUAGAAAUUGUGCACUAGUACCAAUGAUUUUUAAAUGUUUCUGGUACUAGGUCUUUACAGUUUGGUUGUCAAAUUACUCUGUUCAAAGCCAUAGUUUAAACUCUGUAGAACACUGGGUCCUUUCCCUUAUAUUGCAUGAAUAAUGAUUACACCAUUCAGUGGUGGCUUCUAUCAGUUGAAUAAAAGAACAAUUGAGAAUUUAAA